UUCUCUCAGUCUCUUUCUCUGUGUCUGCCUUUCAAAUAAAAUGAAAGUAAAUAAAUAUGCUUUUAAAAUGGACAGCCACUCUCCGUCUCUGGGCAGAGAGGUGCACACUCUCCCUCCCCUUCCCAGAGCCUUUCCCGGGCUGCUGCCAGAACAGCCAGGCUUGGGCUCCCUGUCACGUGUCUGGCUCUCCCAAGGGGCCUCCCGGCAUGUGGUGCACUCUCCUCGCCAUGUGACCCUCUCCUGCUGUCACCCUCUUGUUCCUGGCCUGGGCCUGUCAUUUUCUCAUUAUCGUCACCACCCCAGACCCAGACUUGUCCUCUGCUUUCCUGUUUCCAAUUAAGUGUUGUCCCCUCAGGCCUCCCGGGCCACACUGUUCCCUGGUUACCAGAGAGGAAAAUGACAGCAUGCAAAGGAGGGAAAGUCCCACUGGCCAGAGGCACCCAGGGCAGGGGGGCUGCCUGCAGACUGUGCAGACCCCAGGGGCACGUGGAGUGGGGAAGAAGAACCCGGAGUGACCUGCCCUCAGGACCCAACAUCCUGUGGAUCUGAUCAGCUUCUUUUGAUGGGGGGUGCCCCCCCUUCCCGUGACCUGGGUUCUUCCCCUUCAUGAAAAUAAAAUGACAGAGAAUCCGCGAUGA